rnacentral:rRNA from 1 species
AACGCCGCGUGGGGGAUGACGGUCUUCGGAUUGUAAACUCCUGUCAUCCGGGAGAAAGACCUGGGGGUUAACAGCUCACAGGGUUGAUAGUACCGGAAGAGGAAGGGACGGCUAACUUCGUGCCAGCACCCUGGUGACUGAGCGGGCUAGGCAAGGCGCAUA